rnacentral:rRNA from 1 species
CCUACGGGGGGCAGCAGUGGGGAAUAUUGGUCAAUGGGCGAGAGCCUGAACCAGCCAUCCCGCGUGCAGGAAGAAUGCCCUAUGGGUUGUAAACUGCUUUUUCGCAUGAAGAACACUCCUGACGUGUCAGGAGCUGACGGUAAUGCGUGAAUAAGCACCGGCUAACUCCGUGCCAGCAGCCGCGGUAAUACGGAGGGUGCAAGCGUUAUCCGGAUUUAUUGGGUUUAAAGGGUGCGUAGGCGGCAAUUUAAGUCAGUGGUGAAAUCCUGCAGCUCAACUGUAGAACAGCCAUUGAAACUGAAUUACUUGAGUAAUCUUGAGGUAGGCGGAAUGUGUAGUGUAGCGGUGAAAUGCUUAGAUAUUACACAGAACACCGAUUGCGAAGGCAGCUUACUAAGGAUUUACUGACGCUGAUGCACGAAAGCGUGGGGAUCAAACAGGAUUAGAUACCCCAGUAGUC